AGAACGAACGCUGGCGGCAUGCCUAACACAUGCAAGUCGAACGCUUGUCCGGCUUCGGCCGGGCAGGAGUGGCGCACGGGUGAGUAGCGCGUGGGAACCUGCCCUGUUGUGGGGGAUAACCGAGGGAAACUUCGGCUAAUACCGCAUGCGCCCGGGGAAACCCGGGAAAGAUUUAUCGCAGCAGGAGGGGCCCGCGUCGGAUUAGGUAGUUGGUAGGGUAACGGCCUACCAAGCCUGUGAUCCGUAGCUGGUCUGAGAGGAUGAUCAGCCACACUGGGACUGAGACACGGCCCAAACUCCUACGGGAGGCAGCAGUGGGAAUAUUGGACAAUGGGCGCAAGCCUGAUCCAGCCAUGCCGCGUGAGUGAUGAAGGCCCUAGGGUUGUAAAGCUCUUUGUGCGGGAAGAUAAUGACGGUACCGCAAGAAUAAGCCCCGGCUAACUUCGUGCCAGCAGCCGC
rnacentral:rRNA from 1 species